GGGUUGUGAGGUUAAGCGACUAAGCGUACACGGUGGAUGCCCUGGCAGUCAGAGGCGAUGAAGGGCGUGCUAAUCUGCGAUAAGCGCCGGUAAGGUGAUAUGAACCGUUAUAACCGGCGAUACCCGAAUGGGGAAACCCAGUGUGAUUCGUCACACUAUCAUUAACUGAAUCCAUAGGUUAAUGAGGCGAACCGGGGGAACUGAAACAUCUAAGUACCCCGAGGAAAAGAAAUCAACCGAGAUUCCCCCAGUAGCGGCGAGCGAACGGGGAGGAGCCCAGAGCCUGAAUCAGCAUGUGUGUUAGUGGAAGCGUCUGGAAAGGCGCGCGAUACAGGGUGACAGCCCCGUACACAAAAGCGCAUGUGCUGUGAGCUCGAUGAGUAGGGCGGGACACGUGGUAUCCUGUCUGAAUAUGGGGGGACCAUCCUCCAAGGCUAAAUACUCCUGACUGACCGAUAGUGAACCAGUACCGUGAGGGAAAGGCGAAAAGAACCCCGGCGAGGGGAGUGAAAAAGAACCUGAAACCGUGUACGUACAAGCAGUGGGAGCACCCUUUGGGUGUG
rnacentral:rRNA from 1 species